rnacentral:rRNA from 1 species
GAUUAAGUUAUUAAGGGCGCACGGUGGAUGCCUUGGCACUAGAAGCCGAUGAAGGACGUUACUAACGACGAUAUGCUUUGGGGAGCUGUAAGUAAGCUUUGAUCCAGAGAUUUCCGAAUGGGGAAACCCAGCAUGAGUUAUGUCAUGUUAUCGAUAUGUGAAUACAUAGCAUAUCAGAAGGCACACCCGGAGAACUGAAACAUCUUAGUACCCGGAGGAAGAGAAAGAAAAUUCGAUUCCCUUAGUAGCGGCGAGCGAAACGGGAAGAGCCCAAACCAACAAGCUUGCUUGUUGGGGUUGUAGGACACUCUAUACGGAGUUACAAAGGACGACAUUAGACGAAUCAUCUGGAAAGAUGAAUCAAAGAAGGUAAUAAUCCUGUAGUCGAAAAUGUUGUCUCUCUUGAGUGGAUCCUGAGUACGACGGAGCACGUGAAAUUCCGUCGGAAUCUGGGAGGACCAUCUCCUAAGGCUAAAUACUCUCUAGUGACCGAUAGUGAACCAGUACCGUGAGGGAAAGGUGAAAAGCACCCCGGAAGGGGAGUGAAAUAGAACCUGAAACCGUGUGCUUACAAGUAGUCAGAGCCCGUUAAUGGGUGAUGGCGUGCCUUUUGUAGAAUGAACCGGCGAGUUACGAUUUGAUGCAAGGUUAAGCAGUAAAUGUGGAGCCGUAGCGAAAGCGAGUCUGAAUAGGGCGUUUAGUAUUUGGUCGUAGACCCGAAACCAGGUGAUCUACCCUUGGUCAGGUUGAAGUUCAGGUAACACUGAAUGGAGGACCGAACCGACUUACGUUGAAAAGUGAGCGGAUGAACUGAGGGUAGCGGAGAAAUUCCAAUCGAACCUGGAGAUAGCUGGUUCUCUCCGAAAUAGCUUUAGGGCUAGCCUCAAGUGAUGAUUAUUGGAGGUAGAGCACUGUUUGGACGAGGGGCCCCUCUCGGGUUACCGAAUUCAGACAAACUCCGAAUGCCAAUUAAUUUAACUUGGGAGUCAGAACAUGGGUGAUAAGGUCCGUGUUCGAAAGGGAAACAGCCCAGACCACCAGCUAAGGUCCCAAAAUAUAUGUUAAGUGGAAAAGGAUGUGGCGUUGCCCAGACAACUAGGAUGUUGGCUUAGAAGCAGCCAUCAUUUAAAGAGUGCGUAAUAGCUCACUAGUCGAGUGACACUGCGCCGAAAAUGUACCGGGGCUAAACAUAUUACCGAAGCUGUGGAUUGUCCUUUGGACAAUGGUAGGAGAGCGUUCUAAGGGCGUUGAAGCAUGAUCGUAAGGACAUGUGGAGCGCUUAGAAGUGAGAAUGCCGGUGUGAGUAGCGAAAGACGGGUGAGAAUCCCGUCCACCGAUUGACUAAGGUUUCCAGAGGAAGGCUCGUCCGCUCUGGGUUAGUCGGGUCCUAAGCUGAGGCCGACAGGCGUAGGCGAUGGAUAACAGGUUGAUAUUCCUGUACCACCUAUAAUCGUUUUAAUCGAUGGGGGGACGCAGUAGGAUAGGCGAAGCGUGCGAUUGGAUUGCACGUCUAAGCAGUAAGGCUGAGUAUUAGGCAAAUCCGGUACUCGUUAAGGCUGAGCUGUGAUGGGGAGAAGACAUUGAGUCUUCGAGUCGUUGAUUUCACACUGCCGAGAAAAGCCUCUAGAUAGAAAAUAGGUGCCCGUACCGCAAACCGACACAGGUAGUCAAGAUGAGAAUUCUAAGGUGAGCGAGCGAACUCUCGUUAAGGAACUCGGCAAAAUGACCCCGUAACUUCGGGAGAAGGGGUGCUCUUUAGGGUUAACGCCCAGAAGAGCCGCAGUGAAUAGGCCCAAGCGACUGUUUAUCAAAAACACAGGUCUCUGCUAAACCGUAAGGUGAUGUAUAGGGGCUGACGCCUGCCCGGUGCUGGAAGGUUAAGAGGAGUGGUUAGCUUCUGCGAAGCUACGAAUCGAAGCCCCAGUAAACGGCGGCCGUAACUAUAACGGUCCUAAGGUAGCGAAAUUCCUUGUCGGGUAAGUUCCGACCCGCACGAAAGGCGUAACGAUUUGGGCACUGUCUCAACGAGAGACUCGGUGAAAUCAUAGUACCUGUGAAGAUGCAGGUUACCCGCGACAGGACGGAAAGACCCCGUGGAGCUUUACUGUAGCCUGAUAUUGAAAUUCGGCACAGCUUGUACAGGAUAGGUAGGAGCCUUUGAAACGUGAGCGCUAGCUUACGUGGAGGCGCUGGUGGGAUACUACCCUAGCUGUGUUGGCUUUCUAACCCGCACCACUUAUCGUGGUGGGAGACAGUGUCAGGCGGGCAGUUUGACUGGGGCGGUCGCCUCCUAAAAGGUAACGGAGGCGCUCAAAGGUUCCCUCAGAAUGGUUGGAAAUCAUUCAUAGAGUGUAAAGGCAUAAGGGAGCUUGACUGCGAGACCUACAAGUCGAGCAGGGUCGAAAGACGGACUUAGUGAUCCGGUGGUUCCGCAUGGAAGGGCCAUCGCUCAACGGAUAAAAGCUACCCCGGGGAUAACAGGCUUAUCUCCCCCAAGAGUUCACAUCGACGGGGAGGUUUGGCACCUCGAUGUCGGCUCAUCGCAUCCUGGGGCUGUAGUCGGUCCCAAGGGUUGGGCUGUUCGCCCAUUAAAGCGGUACGCGAGCUGGGUUCAGAACGUCGUGAGACAGUUCGGUCCCUAUCCGUCGUGGGCGUAGGAAAUUUGAGAGGAGCUGUCCUUAGUACGAGAGGACCGGGAUGGACAUACCUCUGGUGUACCAGUUGUCGUGCCAACGGCAUAGCUGGGUAGCUAUGUGUGGACGGGAUAAGUGCUGAAAGCAUCUAAGCAUGAAGCCCCCCUCAAGAUGAGAUUUCCCAACUUCGGUUAUAAGAUCCCUCAAAGAUGAUGAGGUUAAUAGGUUCGAGGUGGAAGCAUGGUGACAUGUGGAGCUGACGAAUACUAAUCGAUCGAAGACU